AGUCCUAACUGCUUUUCCGCCGUGUUUUUCACUGUUGUAGGCUAACGUUACCAGAAAGAAUCCGUUUCUACGAUGUUUAUUUGUGUAAAUGCUGUGAGUGCGUUGAGCUCUGCGCGAGCUGGGAGCAGAGUUGCCAUGGAAACGUCUCUCGCUGCUGUUUUCACUGCUUUCAGGAGGACAGAAAGAAACUCUACAGAACAGAUGGGAAGCUCCAAGAUUUCAACAUUUCUGAAGGAGCUGCUGAUGGAGAAGUAGAAAAUACAGGUGAACUGAAGAAGCUCAUGAAAUAACUUAAUAUGCAUUUUUUCACAAUAUAUUUUACCUAUAUCCCCAUGCACCUGUUAUUUCCUUUGGCAAAAUGUGUGUGUGUGU